rnacentral:lncRNA from 1 species
UGGGCGACUGACGUGGUAUACUGGGGUAAAGAUACUGUGCUCAAAGCAGGGACGUGGAGCUCUGCGGUUAGCGGAGGGGUUAAUUGUUGGGCACCGGUGAACCUCCCGACCUUGAGAUCUUUCACAUACUGUCACUUCAGAUGUGACUCUGGAGUCGGUGGUGGAAAUGCGUGGGAUCGAGCUACCUGGGGCUCCCACGUGCGGGAAACGGCGGGCCGCUUGCCGAGUCAUCGGAGGACCGCCGCCGCCAGAGAGCGAGGCCCCAACGGAGGAGACGGACGGCGCCCCCCGCCAUCGGCCCGGCCCCGUUCCCUCGGACCCGCGGCGCAGCGGCGACUCGGGGACGACGGGGCAGGACGCGAAAAGCACGCGGAGUGCCCUGCUGAGCAGCGUCCUGGAUGCUGUCCUGGAACGUCAACAUGAUGCUGCUGUUCCGCUCUCAAAAGGGAUGCGUCUCCUCUCUGGUGCUCUCCUCGCAGCAGAAGGUGCAAGACGGGGCCUUCGGGGAGGAGACGCCGCGGGAGGCCCCACAGUGGACUUUGGCAAAGGUGCUUGUGAGUAUUUGUUACACCUUCGUAUCACACUCCUCGCCUCUAGCAGCACUCGGGUGCAAAACAAUUUCAGUAUUUUCAAAGGCAACACGCUUGAGUAUAAUGCAUCUUAUGGUUACAUGCUUGCAAAAGAUGGGAGCUGCGUGUGUUCCAUAGUUGUGGUCAAAACCUUUUAUGCCCAUACAUUUAUUCUGUACUAUUAA